rnacentral:rRNA from 1 species
CCAGAAGAAGCCCCGGCCAACUACGUGCCAGCAGCCGCGGUAAUACGUAGGGGGCGAGCGUUGUCCGGAUUCAUUGGGCGUAAAGAGCUCGUAGGCGGCUCAGUAAGUCGGCCGUGAAAGCCCGGAGCUCAACUCCGGGAACGCCGGUCGAUACUGCUGUGGCUAGGGUCCGGUAGAGGAGAGUGGAAUUCCCGGGUGUAGCGGUGAAAUGCGCAGAUAUCGGGAGGAACACCAGUAGGCGAAGGCGGCUCUCUGGGCCGGUACCGACGCUGAGGAGCGAAAGCUAGGGGAGCAAACAGGAUUAGAUACCCUGGUAGUCCUAGCCGUAAACGUUGGGCACUAGGUGUGGCGGAUUCAUUGACAUCUGCCGUGCCGGCGCUAACGCAUUAAGUGCCCCGCCUGGGGAGUACGGUCGCAAGGCUAAAACUCAAAGGAAUUGACGGGGGCCCGCACAAGCGGCGGAGCAUGCGGCUUAAUUCGAUGAUACCCGAAGAACCUUACCUGGGCUUGACAUCAUGGGAAAAGCCGUGGAAACACGGUGUGCAUUUGCGUCCAUGACAGGUGGUGCAUGGCUGUCGUCAGCUCGUGUCGUGAGAUGUUGGGUUAAGUCCCGCAACGAGCGCAACCCUUGUCCUAUGUUGCCAGCGGAUUAUGCCGGGGACUCAUAGGAGACUGCCGGGGACAACUCGGAGGAAGGCGAGGACGACGUCAAGUCAUCAUGCCCCUUAUUGUUCAGGGCUGCACGCAUGCUACAAUGGCGGAUACAACGGGCUGCGAUCCCGCGAGGGUGAGCUAAUCCCUGAAAGUCCGUCUCAGUUCGGAUUGGAGUCUGCAACUCGACUCCAUGAAGCCGGAGUCGCUAGUAAUCGCAGAUCAGCAAAGCUGCGGUGAAUACGUUCUCGGGCCUUGUACACACCGCCCGUCACAUCACGAAAGUCGGCAACACCCGAAGUCAGUGGCCCAACCUUUUGGGGGGAGCUGCCGAAGGUGGGGUCGGCGAUUGGGAUG